GGUGUCUCAGUGUGAACAGCUGAGAGGUGUGAUUUCAGAGGCCGGUUCCCCACUGUCAUGGGCCCUGAUUGGGCCGGACAGGAGGUCGCAAGGAGAGGCGCGGGCCUUUCUAAAGGACACCAACAGGUGGGAGGCCGCCAUGGAGGGGGCUCACGUCAGCGGGGAUAGAAAAGGCCGACGUGCGAGGCAAGCUGUAGGCACACCGCACCCUGCCUGCUUGGAGGAGGACGCCUGGAAGGACAGAAGGACGGGGGCGCUUAAGGAAGGGGUUUUUUUGGAGGUCCAAAUUAGGGAUUAUAGUUCAGAUUAAAAACCAUGCAAACUGUUUUGUUUUUUUGUUGUUUUUUUUUACAACACUCUACAUAAUCAGAAGGGACGACAGUGGUGACAAACACUGUAAAAAUAGCAGUUAGUGUUAGGUAGCGUGCAUCACAACUCCAUGUGACCUCCGUCUUGUCCAAACACAGAAAAGGUAGAGGACAUCUUUGCGGAGUGCGCCUCCUUCUUCCUUUUCUCCUUCCUCCAUCUUGUUGUUUUGUUUUGGUUCUGCCACUUGCAGCUGAAAGCAACACACCUUGCUGUGGCUGGUCAAACGGAACCAAGUCAGGUGUUUCUGUGAGGUUUGGUCCCCUUCAACCAGCUACUGCGUCGUGCAUUCAGUCAGCGAACACCCGGUUGCCAUAGUAACCAGGGCAGAUUUCUUGGAGAUGUGUUUACAAUGUAAGAAAUCACUGUGCUGCAUGCGAGGAGUCAAUAGAGCAAUAAAAUAACUGGAUAAGUG